UAAAUAAAGGUGUUCUCAACUAGCCUACCUGGUUAAAUAAAGGUGUUCUCAACUGGCCUACCUGGUUAAAUAAAGGUGUUCUCAACUGGCCACCUGGUUAAAUAAAGGUGUUCUCAACUAGCCUACCUGGUUAAAUAAAGGUGUUCUCAACUGGCCUACCUGGUUAAAUAAAGGUGUUCUCAACUAGCCUACCUGGUUAAAUAAAGGUGUUCUCAACUAGCCUACCUGGUUAAAUAAAGGUGUUCUCAACUAGCCUACCUGGUUAAAUAAAGGUGUUCUCAACUAGCCUACCUGGUUAAAUAAAGGUGUUCUCAACUAGCCUACCUGGUUAAAUAAAGGUGUUCUCAACUGGCCACCUGGUUAAAUAAAGGUGUUCUCAACUAGCCUACCUGGUUAAAUAAAGGUGUUCUCAACUGGCCUACCUGGUUAAAUAAAGGUGUUCUCAACUAGCCUACCUGGUUAAAUAAAGGUGUUCUCAACUAGCCUACCUGGUUAAAUAAAGGUGUUCUCAACUAGCCUACCUGGUUAAAUAAAGGUGUUCUCAACUGGCCUACCUGGUUAAAUAAAGGUGUUCUCAACUGGCCACCUGGUUAAAUAAAGGUGUUCUCAACUGGCCACCUGGUUAAAUAAAGGUGUUCUCAACUGGCCUACCUGGUUAAAUAAAGGUGUUCUCAACUGGCCUACCUGGUUAAAUAAAGGUGUUCUCAACUGGCCUACCUGGUUAAAUAAAGGUGUUCUCAACUGGCCACCUGGUUAAAUAAAGGUGUUCUCAACUAGCCUACCUGGUUAAAUAAAGGUGUUCUCAACUGGCCACCUGGUUAAAUAAAGGUGUUCUCAACUGGCCACCUGGUUAAAUAAAGGUGUUCUCAACUAGCCUACCUGGUUAAAUAAAGGUGUUCUCAACUGGCCUACCUGGUUAAAUAAAGGUGUUCUCAACUAGCCUACCUGGUUAAAUAAAGGUGUUCUCAACUGGCCACCUGGUUAAAUAAAGGUGUUCUCAACUAGCCUACCUGGUUAAAUAAAGGUGUUCUCAACUGGCCACCUGGUUAAAUAAAGGUGUUCUCAACUAGCCUACCUGGUUAAAUAAAGGUGUUCUCAACUGGCCUACCUGGUUAAAUAAAGGUGUUCUCAACUAGCCUACCUGGUUAAAUAAAGGUGUUCUCAACUGGCCACCUGGUUAAAUAAAGGUGUUCUCAACUAGCCUACCUGGUUAAAUAAAGGUGUUCUCAACUAGCCUACCUGGUUAAAUAAAGGUGUUCUCAACUAGCCCACCUGGUUAAAUAAAGGUGUUCUCAACUGGCC